rnacentral:misc_RNA from 1 species
GAGAUCAAUACAUGACUAGGCCCUUGGCCAAAUAAAAACAGGAAGCCUAAUUACAAAUAAAAGAACUAAGCCCAGAAAAACACUAAAGCCUAAGUCUUGAGACUUGAAUAGCAGACUCGAAAAAGCUACGACCUGGCUGCAUCCAGAAAAAUGCCGCACACCAUCGUCCAUACUAAAGAUAAGGCAACCAAGACCACCUCGCCAAAGCCUGGAAGAAAAAAUCAAGGGCUAAAUGAUCCUCAUUCAACCCAUCAAACUAGGCAACCCAAGGUGCAAAAGGGAAGCGCAGACAAUGGAAAUUGAAGCCAUCGGAAGCCAGACCGAACGCUCCGUUGAAGGAUUGAUGGCAGUGUUUUUUCAGCAAUCAACCUUAAGAGUCAGCCAUAAAUGGACUUAAUCUGGCUAUAAAAGAUACCAUCAGCUAAAAUGUAGACCCCCCACAAAGCACAGAAACUGUUGGCUGCAAGAAACAAAGCAGGUCACAAGGAUUUUACCAGAAGCACCACUUGUAAUCUCAGCCCAAAGGAAGAUUAACACCUAUAUGCAAUAAACACAAAGCACAGAAAAACUAGCAAAAACACACAACGAGGCAGAUCCAUAGAAGACUCUCACACUGUCACACUCUGAAGCUUGAUGUGCCAAAAGAACACAAAAAGAAAAUAUUUACACCCAUCCAGUGGGUGGGGGAGAGUCAAACUCACGACUAGGUGAAAAGAGAAAGCUCCCCCUGCUUGUAGGGUAGGGAAAACCGCUUGAACGACAACGAAAAAUGCCCAAGGCGCAGGGAGAAAAGGUACGCGGGAGAGAAA